AUUGAACGCUGGCGGAAUGCUUUACACAUGCAAGUCGAACGGUAGAGGGGGCAACCCCUUGAGAGUGGCGAACGGGUGAGUAAUAUAUCGGAACGUGCCCAGUCGUGGGGAUAACGUAGCGAAAGUUACGCUAAUACCGCAUACGAUCUAAGGAUGAAAGCGGGGGAUCGCAAGACCUCGCGCGAUUGGAGCGGCCGAUAUCAGAUUAGGUAGUUGGUGAGGUAAAGGCUCACCAAGCCAACGAUCUGUAGCUGGUCUGAGAGGACGACCAGCCACACUGGAACUGAGACACGGUCCAGACUCCUACGGGAGGCAGCAGUGGGGAAUUUUGGACAAUGGGCGCAAGCCUGAUCCAGCAAUGCCGCGUGCAGGAUGAAGGCCCUUCGGGUUGUAAACUGCUUUGUACGGAACGAACGGUGAGCUCUAAUACAGUUUGCUAAUGACGGUACCGUAAGAAUAAGCACCGGCUAACUACGUAGCCAGCAGCCGCGGU
rnacentral:rRNA from 1 species